rnacentral:rRNA from 1 species
ACGAACGCUGGCGGCGUGCUUAACACCUGCCAGUCGAACGGUGAAGCGCCUUCCUUUUUGGUGGGUGUGGAUGAGUGGCGAACGGGUGAGUAACACGUGAGUAACCUGCCCCCUUCUUCUGGAUAACCGCAUGAAAGUGUGGCUAAUACGGGAUAUUCUGGGUCUGCCGCAUGAUGGGUCUGGGAAAGAUAUUGUUUCGGUGGGGGAUGGGCUCGCGGCCUAUCAGCUUGUUGGUGGGGUGAUGGCCUACCAAGGCGGUUACGGGUAGCCGGCCUGGGAGGGUGGACGGUCAUGCUGGGACUGAGACACGGCCCAGACUCCGACGGGAGGCAGCAGUGGGGAAUAUUGCACAGUGGGCGCAAGCCUGAUGCAGCGACGCCGCGUGAGGGAUGGAGGCCUUCGGGUUGUGAACCUCUUUCGCCAGUGAAGCAGGCCUGCCUCGUUUGUGGGUGGGUUGACGGUAGCUGGAUAAGAAGCGCCGGCUAACUACGUG